rnacentral:rRNA from 1 species
GACGUAGGGCGCGAGCGUGUCCGGAUUUAUUGGGCGUAAAGAGCUCGUAGGCGGCUCAUUGCGUCAACCGUGAAAACCAGCAGCUCAACUGUUGGCUUGCGGUUGAUACGGGUGGGCUGGAGUUCGGUAGGGGAGACUGGAAUUCCUGGUGUAGCGGUGAAAUGCGCAGAUAUCAGGAGGAACACCGGUGGCAAGGCGGG